CUCUUUGUAAUAUGUGUUAAAAUUACAGUUCAGAUUUCUGAUGAUCAAGUUACAUAGAUUAAAGUAAUGGAUACCAGACUCUGCAUCAAUUCAGGUCCAGUUGAUGGCCUACUUUUCUGACAACAUUGGCAGUCUUUUCAAGAAAUAAGCCCAUCUUGGGCACAGAAGCCAAGACUCCUUGACAUCAC
rnacentral:lncRNA from 1 species